AAAAAACAUUUUAACUUUGAUUUUGUUUAAAAAAAACCCUAAAGUUUUGAGAUUCCCUCACUCUCCCCUCCGCUCUUCGCCGAAAGGCCUAUGCCCAAGCCUUCAACCGCCCCAAAAGCCCUUGCGAUUAGCGAAGCAGGGUCCUCCGACGGUGUGAGCACAAUGCGCAGUACUGUGAUGUUGUAGAGGAGUGCAUGAUCGUGGGGUGUGGACGUGCGAGCUAGGGGUCGUGCGUGGGCGUGUCGAUGUGCGUGGUGGAAAGGCGUAGAACGUGGGGGCUGCAGCGCAAGGAGAAAGAAGGGUUUGUUGUUUCUGAAAAAAAAAAUUUGGGUCAUUGGGCUUGUGUAGUUGGGUAUUAGGCCAUUGUAAAAUUUUGGGCCUUGGAUUUAUUUUGUAUGUUUUGGGUUUGUUGGGCCCGGGCGAAAAUUAGGCCCUACAAAUUAUAUUUAGUUAAUUAAAAAUUAAUUAAUUUACUUGGUUGGACA